CUCUCAGCAACAUGCACAAUCCUCCCCCGCCAGGCGGUCCAGGCCCUCACCACCACCCCGGCCCACCGGCUCCGCCACUACAUGCUCAUCCAUCUCCUCCGCCUCCUGGGCCUCCACACCACCACCACGGCCCACCCGGCCCACCGCAUGCUUAUCCAACUCCUCCGCCUCCUGGGCCUCCACACCACCAUCCCGGCCCACCCGAACCAGGCUUUCAUCAACACCAUGGCCCACCCGGGCCACCGUAUGCUCAUCCAACUCCUCCGCCUCCUGGGCCACCGGGACCUCCCCCUCCAGGGCCUCCACACCACCAACACCACCGUUGCUGAUGUAAUGCAUAUGGAGCUUAUGAAUAACGAUCCUACAUAUAUAUGAUGUAAUGUUGAAUGCUUUUUAAUUUCUGAACACUUUAUAUAGCAAGGGCAAAAUUUGGUUGUGUCACUAAAUAAAAGCUUUGUAGUUCGUAGUUCCACUACUAUAGUACUACCUAUAUUUACCGUGUAUCACCGUCUGGUGCCCCUUGUGCUUUUUCUGGUGUGUAUCUUAUUAGAAUAAGAAAUAAAGGGAGGUCAUUUCUAUGUAUGUUGCACUGAUUAAAUCUAUUAUAAAGACAUUUUAAUGGUCAAAAAUUAUUUUUUUAACUUAAAGAUACAAAAUUGAAACG
rnacentral:lncRNA from 1 species